rnacentral:tRNA from 1 species
GGCUUCUUAGCUCAAUGGUAGAGCGCAACCCUAGUAAGGUUGAGGUUACGGGUUCGAUCCCCGUAGAAGCCU